ensembl:ncRNA asRNA:CR43609 antisense RNA:CR43609
AUUGCCGUCGUUAUCCAUCUGGUCCAUAAAUUCGUCUAAACGCUGCAGAGAUUCAAGAGCUUCCCGAGAUUCUUCGUCUUCAAUAUUAUUUAAUUUUGCAGAACUGUUUGGAAACUCAGUGUGGACGAUGUCUAGCUGACCAUGAUCUGUUUCAGGUGCCCCGUAGCUUCCGUAUAUUUCCCGAAGCGUUGCGCGGGUAAGAUUUAACUCGCGCAUUCCAAAACUCAUUUUUUGAGCAACCUCAGCAGCCUCGCGUCUAUUGGCCUUUCGCUUAUCAUGGGAAAGUUGCUCGGCAUUAGUGCGAAGCAUUGACCCACUUGACGCCGACGACCAAGAGGAGGCGGCCGACUUGCGGGAGCGCUUGAUUAUUUGGCGGCACUUGUUGGUAAUCCCACCGACGAUCUCGGAUACCAGGGCUGUGGCUCCUAGAAAGUAGCCCAGUGCCAUGAGCAGGAACAUUCCUUCUGUGUCCGCUGUAGUCAAUUGGCGCUCUUCCUGAAUUAUUUCGCGUAAGGAAUUCGAAGAACUUGCCUGGAGCAGGCGUCCUGAAGAUGAUCGCUGCAUGACCCAGCUUACCUCGUUAUUGAUUUUUGCAAUAAGACCACUUUGCUGGGCAAGUAAUAUCAUCGAGUCGAUUUUGAUUUUAUACACUGACUCUCGGGGAAACAGAAAUCCUAUUUGGAAAAGAGCAAAACACUCUUCACUCAAAUGAAGCGCCGAUCGGCGGGAAAUAUUUCUAAAAGAGGAUAUCGUUUACGGUGGGAAGAUUAAAAAUAAAGGAUCGAUCUUACUCAUCUGAAAAAUUUGACUGCACCAGGUAUUCGAGCUGAGCCUUUGAGCCAAGAAAGGCAUAGUUCCAAAAGAAGCUCUGGGUAACGUUGCCAAUGCCCUCAUCUACGGACCCGACAAACUCCAUUUUCUUGUACAAUCUAGACGUCGGUAUAUGGGUCGAGUUCUGGAACCAGGUCUCCCAGCCACCAUUGUCUUUAAGGUUCCAACGCGAAAGAACAAUCCCAGCAGAUCCAACACAGAGUCAACGGUGUCCGGAAAAGCUGGCAACGUUACGAAUGCUAUGAUGGAACCUGUGUAGCAAGAUGUAAUGAUAAUUGUAAAGAGCCAAUAUGCUCCAAUUAGAAGGCGUGUGGAAUUUUUCCGCGUGUUGCUCCACGAGUAUUUUCCGGUGAAGGAGAAAGCGUUUGUGAACAUGCCAAAUACAUACCAGAACAUGUUUUCUACCUCACCCCAAUUACCCAUUAAAUGGCUAAGUGUCAAACGGUCGGUAAAAACUAUCGGAAAUAUUCCACCGAGGUAAACGCAAAUCAGAGCGACCCAGACUGGCCAUUGGAACGGUCCCAUUAUGGCUCUGUAUUUCGGCAGCGCCUUCGAUGCAAGUGUUAUGAAAGCUGCACAAUCGGGUGAGUGCCCCACCGACAUGGCUGAGUCCAUCAGCCGUUCCUGUGUUAUAUAUAUACCGGACAUACCAAUGUCUACUGUUCUUUCUAUAAUCUGUUCCUGGAUGGUGUCUACUACCCCGCGCGUAUUCGACCGUGUUGGGGUCUCAGUGAUAUCUAUCGAAAAGUUUAGCCGCUUAGAUAUCAUUGUCAGCAGACGAAAUUCAACUCCGUCCCAACGCAACUGGCCCAUUCCUGAGGAAUCUAAAGUGCGAAUUCGAAAAAUAAACGGCGGCUGAUUUGCGGCUGAAAUUUGAAAUCUGUGUCCCGCAAACCCAAAUUGAAACUUCGAUGGGAAAAGAUUUAUAUGUGGACGUGACAAAGCUCCCUUUAUCCAGCUGGUUAGCACUACCGGAGUGUUUGAGCCAAGUCCAUCUGCAUAGAGCUUGUGGGUGUAGAGUACGUAUGGGCGCUCCUGUGUGAAGCGCAUUAUUUGUUACAAAAACGUAUCCCUAUUAAGCAAUACUCACGCGCAUCGGGUCAGCCAUGAGCGAUUCCCCAAUAACUAGUAAAUUUACAAUGUUUGAGGAUAGCUCCGAAGACAAAAAAUCACGAAGUCUCCAUUGGGUGGACCUUGAGACAAGAACUACACGACUUUCAGUUUGCGGGCCUAAAAUCUUUCGCGUCAUUAAUGGGUCCGAAAGGAAAAGAAUGUAGCUUUUGCAAUUGCAAUCUAUAUGGCUCGUAAAACGUUUAUUUUUUGCUUCGUAGUCUGCAUUGAUUUCCCCGUGGUAGAAAGUAAUAGGAAUAGUCUGAAAAGUAAAUAAAAUUGUAUUCAU